AAACAGGUUCUAAGAACCAUCAUAAUACUAAAAUAAAUGGUAU
rfam:Aedes albopictus isolate Foshan contig150336, whole genome shotgun sequence.